UUCGCAAUGCCCGAAAGGGUGACGAAGCGACGCCGCGUGCGGGAAGAAGGCCUUCGGGUUGUAAACCGCUGUCGGGAGUUAAGAAAUGCAAGGGUGUAAAUAGCAUCCUUGCUUGACUAAGGCUCCAGAGGAAGCCACGGCUAACUCUGUGCCAGCAGCCGCGGUAAUACAGAGGUGGCAAGCGUUGUUCGGAAUUAUUGGGCGUAAAGAGCACGUAGGCGGCUCUGCAAGUCAGCUGUGAAAGCCUUCUGCUUAACGGAAGAACAGCAGUUGAUACUACAGAGGUUGAGUGCGGGAGGGGAGAGUGGAACUUCUGGUGGAGCGGUGAAAUGCGUAGAUAUCAGAAGGAACGCCGGCGGCGAAAGCGACUCUCUGGCCCGUAACUGACGCUGAGUGUGCGAAAGCUAGGGGAGCAAACGGGAUUAGAUACCCCGGUAGUCCUAGCCGUAAACGAUGGGCACUAAGUAGAGGGGUUUU
rnacentral:rRNA from 1 species